rnacentral:tRNA from 1 species
UGGUACUCCGACUUGGGAUCGAACCAAGAUUUGACGAUUAUCGGUCGCCUGUUCUAACCGUUUGAACUAUCGGAGC